rnacentral:rRNA from 1 species
GAUGAACGCUGGCGGCGUGCCUAAUACAUGCAAGUCGAGCGAACAGAUAAGGAGCUUGCUCCUUUGGCGUUAGCGGCGGACGGGUGAGUAACACGUGGGUAACCUACCUAUAAGACUGGGAUAACUUCGGGAAACCGGAGCUAAUACCGGAUAACAUUUGGAACCGCAUGGUUCUAAAGUGAAAGAUGGUUUUGCUAUCACUUAUAGAUGGACCCGCGCCGUAUUAGCUAGUUGGUAAGGUAACGGCUUACCAAGGCAACGAUACGUAGCCGACCUGAGAGGGUGAUCGGCCACACUGGAACUGAGACACGGUCCAGACUCCUACGGGAGGCAGCAGUAGGGAAUCUUCCGCAAUGGGCGAAAGCCUGACGGAGCAACGCCGCGUGAGUGAUGAAGGGUUUCGGCUCGUAAAACUCUGUUAUUAGGGAAGAACAAACGUGUAAGUAACUGUGCACGUCUUGACGGUACCUAAUCAGAAAGCCACGGCUAACUACGUG